UGGCAAGCGUUAUCCGGAUUUAUUGGGCGUAAAGCGAGCGCAGGCGGUUUGAUAAGUCUGAUGUGAAAGCCUUUGGCUUAACCAAAGAAGUGCAUCGGAAACUGUCAGACUUGAGUGCAGAAGAGGACAGUGGAACUCCAUGUGUAGCGGUGGAAUGCGUAGAUAUAUGGAAGAACACCAGUGGCGAAGGCGGCUGUCUGGUCUGCAACUGACGCUGAGGCUCGAAAGCAUGGGUAGCG
rnacentral:rRNA from 1 species